CAUAUAGCUCAGUUGGUAGAGCAACAGACUGAAAAUCUGUGUGUCACUGGUUCGAUUCCCGUUAUGGGC
rnacentral:tRNA from 1 species